UCACUUCUUUUAGUUAGCUUUUAGAUUUCAUUAAAUACGAGCUUUUGGUCAGACAUUCUUUAGGUAUGAAGCUUCCGAUUCUUCUGGUCGUCUUUUUGGUGGCAGGUGCCAUACAAACUGAAGGAGCCACCCGAAGAGACCGAAGAGCUGCUGAGAAACUACAGGCCUCCAACGCCGACCAAAUGGUACAGAACAUUCUUCAAUGGCUGCAGGGCGUUUAUUCGCACAACAGCCGAAGAGGUAUGUUGGCCCUAACAUUAAUUAAUCAACUUGAUUUCAUGAGUCGGGUAAUUAAUGCUCAUAAAUGAAAAGUUUAUAGGCAAAAGUGGCACAAUGACGGUUCAAAGUGCUCUAAAAUGGCAAAAUAUGCAAAAAUCAAGGACUUGCAUUAUUCCAGCGGUCGCUAAUUGGUCUAACGAUACACCAAUACGAAAUAAACGGAUAUAACUUAGUUAUGUUGGUGACACGGUCAGUAAAUUAAUCGGGCUCAUUGGUGCGGAGAUCGAUUUAUUGCGCGAAAUAUCACGGUGAAAUGUUUAAAUCUGUUCGAUUCAAUGGCAUCAAACAAAAGCCUGAUGGUUAAUUUAUCUGGCUAAGGCUGGGAACCAAAUGGAAGCGAUAAAAACGUUAAGUUAUUAAAUACAUUAACAAUUUUUUUACUCUAACCGGAUAUUUACUCCAUUCCCUAGUGAUAAGUCAUAUUUUUCUCACUAGGUAGAUAAUGACAUAUAAACAUCUGCCAUUUGUUUUUAGUUUGCCCACCUCUCAAAGUUCAGUUUGUCAAUUUGACAACUGAACGUCAGGCUAUCAAAUAUUGUGACACUUCAGAUAAUUAAUGGGAAAUCCAAAAUCUAGUGGAGUCAAUUUGGGCAAUUUUCCGUGUUCGUAGAGAGAAGAAGAGAGAGAGAAGGCUUAUUAUACGUCUCGACCUACGCACUUUUUUGGUGACGGAACCCUUUUAAAGAGCAAAAUUUUUAACGAAGCCCUAAACCCUAACUAAACUAAAAGCAAAACGAUUUAUAUGUGUAUUGUUUAUU
rnacentral:lncRNA from 1 species